rnacentral:rRNA from 1 species
AUUGAACGCUGGCGGCAGGCCUAACACAUGCAAGUCGAGCGGAUCGGCGGACGGGUGAGUAAUGCCUAGGAAUCUGCCUGGUAGUGGGGGAUAACGUCCGUAAACGGGCGCUAAUCCCGCAUACUCUCAGAUGAGCCUAGGUCGGAUUAGCUAGUUGGUGGGGUAAAGGCCUACCAAGGCGACGAUCCGUAACUGGUCUGAGAGUAUGAUCAGUCACACUGGAAGUGAGACACGGUCCAGAGUCGUACGGGAGGCAGCAGGGGGGAAUAGUGGACAAUGGGCGAAAGCCUGAUCCAGCCACGCCGAGGGUGUGAAGAAGGUCUUCGGAUUGUAAAGCACUUUAAGUUGGGAGGCGUUACCAACAGAAUAAGCACCGGAUAACUUCGUGCCAGCAGCCGCGGUAAUUC